ACAUUCUGAGUUUAAUAUUUGUACAGCUUAUCCAAAAAGACUAGUCACUGUAGUAAAUUAUUAACUAGAAGUUUCAAUCAUUGCUUUCUACUGCGUCAUCACAUGACACAUGAGACAGAUACCUUCCAAAGAGCAGAGGGAAACAAACAUACACUUUAAAGUACUUUAACUCUCCUCCCGGAUCUUCUAAAGCUGCUUUAGAUGGCGUUUGAUCAGAAACAUGGUGAUGCUGCAAUUUCUACACUUCAAGUUCAAGUAGAUGAUGUGAAAAAUGUCAUGAGUCACAAUAUUGAAAAAGUUUUGGACAGAGAGGAACGGCUGAGUGAACUGGCUGAUCGAAGCGAUGAUCUCCAAACAGCGGCUCACGGUUUCCAAAAGACGUCUACAAAGAUUUCAAGGAAGAUGUGGUGGAAAAACACUAAAAUGAUCAUAAUUAUUGUUAGCAUUGUCCUCGUCAUAGUAGUGUUCAUCGUCCUUUUAGCCACAGGCACCAUUCCAACAUAAAGGAUCCUUUUAAGCAGUUUCAAACGAUGCACUGGCAUUCUAUAAAGAGUUCUAGAUUGAAAGGCACAAAUAUUUUUGUUUAUAGUCUUUUUUCUAUCUUCAAAUAAGUACAGUUAACAGCUACAAAUUGCUUUUACAUACUAGCGCUUGCCGUGGGCUGGCAAGCAAGCAGAUGCGAGAACCUGUAGCCUUCCAGGUUGCUGGAUUACAAACCACAUUAUCCAAAACCCUUUGCCAGGCUGGUUGGGACUGCCAGGAAUUGAGAGUCCAAGGUCUGGAGCAUGACAAGAUUUCCCAGCCCUGCAAUAAAGGAAUGAGCUAACUCCCCAUUUAAAAUAUUUCACAUCUUAAAAAGUGACAAGGCAACAGAUAUACCUAUUAAGACAAAACCCUGAACGAAAUUCUCAAUGGUGCCAGAGUAGAAAUACUUUCAAUUUCUAAGCCAACUUGUUGCAUCUACUUCCUAUUCUGCACCCUUAUAUGCUUAAGGCCCACAUUCUACAAAUACUGGUGUUUAAGGGUUAAAUAAUCAGCAGCAGCAUCUGAUACCAAGGAGGAAAAGUUCUUUAUUAAAGGGGGGAAGUUGUGCUAUAGGCAAGAGCAGGCUUGAGAACUCUAGACCACAAUGUCCUGCCCAAAGGGGUUUUUUUGUUUGGCUUAUUCUCACACUACAUGAUUCUUCACUGCAGUUCAGUUUCAUGUUUAUUAAGCAACAGCCUGAUAAAGAUAUUGAGCCCUAGUGCAGAUGUGUCUACUCACUCCUAUAACUGGAGCUUCUCCAGCUGAAAAACUCUUAGUCUGGCUGAACUUUAGUCAAUAGCUAUACGUCCAGACACAUACAACUGCAAUGUACCUAGCCCCAGCAUUUUAUAUGUAAGAAUUUUGAGGGGAAAGUAGUAAGAUCCUGGGGCUUGGAGCCAGCCACUGAAGACAGCAGGUAGACAGACCCUGAAGAAGCACCUCCUUAGAGCCAAGAGAACAUGUUGAGAAAAACGGAUUGUGCAAUACAAGCCAUGGCAGAAGCAAUUCAUUCUGCAGUCUCUUAUUCCAGAGUAGACUGUCAAGAACCUUGAGAGUACUUACCCACAUGCCAGUUAUAACCAGUACAAAAUUAAUGAAAUGCUUAAAAGUGCCACCUUUCUUGAUUCAACUGCUUAUAGAAAUGUUUUGUUUCCAAUAGAUAUUGAUGUGACAGUGAUAACAAACAAAAUAUAGAUAUCCAUGUACCAUCUGGCCAAUGUUUGUUGAGCGAUAUUAGAAGUCACACUUUGUUGGGCAGGCGCCGAUGUAAAGGCUGGAAAAUACGGUAUAAAUGUGACAUGGACCCCACUGUACUGUCUGAAGUUUUGGUUGUUUUUUUAAAAUGUAUUUCUAGAGUUCAGGAGCAAAGGAAAAGAAAACUUGUGCUGGCUCCUAACCCACAGCCAGUAGGUAGUGUCAAUUCAGAACCGCUAUAUCUACAACACUGGAAUUAUCCUGCCUUUCAGAUGACUGACUCAAGCACGAUACAAAUACGAACUGCCAAGGGUGGUGCAAGAUUGUCACUGCCAAACUCGUCUCUUAACAAAUGAUCAACACGACCACUUAGUGUUUUGGUGUCCACAUGUUAACAGGACAACAUUUUUGUAAUCUGAAAACCACUGUAAGCCAUUUAAUACAGUGAUCGGAUUUCUAGCUUCCAAGGCAGUGGAGUAGAAUUUGUGCAAGCCUUAAUGAUGCUCCGUGAAGGUGAGAAAGCAAGAUGGAUGUUAGAACCUGUCUAUACAUUAAAUCAGGGGUGUCAAACUCAAAUUCAUCGGGGGCCGCAUCAGCAGUUUGGUCACCCUCAAAGGGCCGGUUGUAUCUGUAGGACUAUGUGUCCACUCUUUAUUAUCAUAAAUUAUUGUCACUGCAUUCAAUUAUUACUGUUUUUGUAAUAAUGUAAGUAAUAACUAGCUCUGAAAGCAGAAACAUAGUCAGAAUAAUGGCAAGUAGAUAUUCAAAUGUACAAUUAUUGUACAAUUUAUUGAAAAAUGAUUUUUGGUAACUGCACUGGGUGGUGGAGGCUCGUUAGGGUUUCAUGCAGGACCUUUGCAGAGCUACUAGUACCUGGAGAUGCUGGGGUCCUUCUGCAUGCAGGACAGAUGUUCUGCCAGUGAGCCACCACCCUUCACCAAAGGGACUGGCUGAGGUUGACUCACUGAAGCUGCUCUCCUGGUUCCAGGGUUUAAGGGCCAGAAGUAUAAAGCAGCAUCCCAUGUUUCUGAGGAGAGGGAGGG